CCUACGGGAGGCAGCAGUGAGGAAUAUUGGUCAAUGGGCGCUAGCCUGAACCAGCCAAGUCGCGUGAAGGAUGACUGCCCUAUGGGUUGUAAACUUCUUUUAUAUGGGAGUAAAGUGCAGUAUGUAUACUGCUUUGCAUGUACCUUAUGAAUAAGGAUCGGCUAACUCCGUGCCAGCAGCCGCGGUAAUACGGAGGAUCCGAGCGUUAUCCGGAUUUAUUGGGUUUAAAGGGAGCGUAGGCGGGUUGUUAAGUCAGUUGUGAAAGUUUGAGGCUCAACCGUAAAAUUGCAGUUGAUACUGGCAGCCUUGAGUACAGGAGAGGUAGGCGGAAUGCGUGGUGUAGCGGUGAAAUGCUUAGAUAUCACGAAGAACUCCGAUUGCGAAGGCAGCCUGCUGGACUGUAACUGACGCUGAUGCACGAAAGUGUGGGUAUCAAACAGGAUUAGAUACCCUAGUAGUC
rnacentral:rRNA from 1 species